rnacentral:lncRNA from 1 species
AAUAUUUCUUACUGGGCUAGUUGAGCUCACCCUUUCUUUCACUGUUCUCUUCAGGAAAUGAGAAUAUAGCUGUGACGAGUCGGGGAACGCAGUGACGGUCCAGAUGAUAGCAUUAGUAGUCCUCACUAUUCUGUUAAAUAGUGUGACAAUAAAUGUAAUGAGGACUUCAUUGAGUUUGUAUACUGUCUAGAUGACAAUAUACGUAUUAAAACUCUUAGAUUAUGUUUUGUCGUAUUUUACAUGACUGAUGUAUAAUUAAGUUGUAUUUGAAUUUUGUACCAUGUAUCUCGUGACUCAAGAUGGGUGAUGUAUACCUUUUUUGGGGGCGUCACAAAUGACUAGUUUAUUUUGUAAUAGACUAGUAUGUUUGUAUGAAUUAUAUUACAACGAACACAGAAUGUAAUGGUUUCAGAACCUGGGAACGAGAUGUAUUAUUAUUAAUGUAAUAAGAAUGUCGUUGAUACACA